UACGGAGGGUGCAAGCGUUAAUCGGAAUUACUGGGCGUAAAGCGCACGCAGGUGGCUGAGUCAGUCGAUUGUGAAAGCCCUGGGCUUAACCUGGGAAUUGCAGUCGAUACUACUCAGCUAGAGUAUGGGAGAGGGUAGUGGAAUUCCCGGUGUAGCGGUGAAAUGCGUAGAUAUAGGAAGGAACACCAGUGGCGAAGGCGACCACCUGGACUGAUACUGACACUGAGGUGCGAAAGCGUGGGGAGCAAACAGG
rnacentral:rRNA from 1 species